rnacentral:rRNA from 1 species
GGCGAGGGGAGUGAAAAAGAACCUGAAACCGUGUACGUACAAGCAGUGGGAGCACAGGUUUACCUGUGUGACUGCGUACCUUUUGUAUAAUGGGUCAGCGACUUAUAUUCUGUAGCAAGGUUAACCGUAUAGGGGAGCCGUAGGGAAACCGAGUCUUAACCGGGCGUUAAGUUGCAGGGUAUAGACCCGAAACCCGGUGAUCUAGCCAUGGGCAGGUUGAAGGUUGGGUAACACUAACUGGAGGACCGAACCGACUAAUGUUGAAAAAUUAGCGGAUGACCUGUGGCUGGGGGUGAAAGGCCAAUCAAACCGGGAGAUAGCUGGUUCUCCCCGAAAGCUAUUUAGGUAGCGCCUCGUGAAUUCAUCUCCGGGGGUAGAGCACUGUUUCGGCUAGGGGGCCAUCCCGGCUUACCAACCCGAUGCAAACUGCGAAUACCGGAGAAUGUUAUCACGGGAGACACACGGCGGGUGCUAACGUCCGUCGUGAAGAGGGAAACAACCCAGACCGCCAGCUAAGGUCCCAAAGUCAUGGUUAAGUGGGAAACGAUGUGGGAAGGCCCAGACAGCCAGGAUGUUGGCUUAGAAGCAGCCAUCAUUUAAAGAAAGCGUAAUAGCUCACUGGUCGAGUCGGCCUGCGCGGAAGAUGUAACGGGGCUAAACCAUGCACCGAAGCUGCGGCAGCGACACUGUGUGUUGUUGGGUAGGGGAGCGUUCUGUAAGCCUGUGAAGGUGGCCUGUGAGGGUUGCUGGAGGUAUCAGAAGUGCGAAUGCUGACAUAAGUAACGAUAAAGCGGGUGAAAAGCCCGCUCGCCGGAAGACCAAGGGUUCCUGUCCAACGUUAAUCGGGGCAGG